rnacentral:rRNA from 1 species
GACGAACGCUGGCGGCGUGCCUAAUACAUGCAAGUAGAACGCUGAAGGAGGAGCUUGCUUCUCUGGAUGAGUUGCGAACGGGUGAGUAACGCGUAGGUAACCUGCCUGGUAGCGGGGGAUAACUAUUGGAAACGAUAGCUAAUACCGCAUAAUAGUAGAUGUUGCAUGACAUUUGCUUAAAAGGUGCAAUUGCAUCACUACCAGAUGGACCUGCGUUGUAUUAGCUAGUUGGUGAGGUAACGGCUCACCAAUGCGACGAUACAUAGCCGACCUGAGAGGGUGAUGGGCAACACUGGAACUGAGACACGGCCCAGACUCCUACGGGAGGCAGCAGUGGGGAAUCUUCGGCAAUGGACGGAAGUCUGACCGAGCAACGCCGCGGGAGUGAAGAAGGUUUUCGGAUCGUAAAGCUCUGUUGUAAGGGAAGAACGAGUGUGGGAGUGAAAAGUUCACACUGGGCCGUAAUCAUACAAGAAAGGACGGCUAAAUUAGUU